rnacentral:misc_RNA from 1 species
GUCAUUGUUUAGAAGAAUAUUUCACCAUCAUGCAACAACUCUUGAUGAACUACUCUGAAGCCUCUUCCUCAUCUAGCAAAGCAAGUUCCACUAAGGCGGUCAAACUUGGAAACGAUAAUGAAAAUGACUAUUUCAGCAUCUUCUCAUGUAAAAAAUAAAAAGUAAAGUAAUUAACUCUCCGGUCAAAGUCCUUUAUUGCUGCUCU